UGAGGGCCCGCACAAGCAGCGGAGCGUGUGGCUUAAUUCGAUGCUACACGAAGAACCUUACCAGGGUUUGGCAUGCAAGUGGUAGGAAGCCGAAAGGUGACCGACCCUUCGGGGAGCUUGCACAGGUGCUGCAUGGCUGUCGUCAGCUCGUGUCGUGAGAUGUUCGGUUAAGUCCCGCAACGAGCGCAACCCUUGUCAUUAGUUGCUACAUUCAGUUGGGCACUCUAAUGAGACUGCCGGUGACAAGCCGGAGGAAGGUGGGGAUGACGUCAAGUCCUCAUGGCCCUUAUAGGUGGGGCUACACACGUCAUACAAUGGCUGGUACAAAGGGUUGCCAACCCGCGAGGGGGAGCCAAUCCCAUAAAGCCAGUCGUAGUCCGGAUCGUAGUCUGCAACUCGACUACGUGAAGUCGGAAUCGCUAGUAAUCGUGGAUCAGAAUGUCACGGUGAAUACGUUCCCGGGUCUU
rnacentral:rRNA from 1 species